rnacentral:tRNA from 1 species
AUUAGAUGGCUGAAAGNAAGUAAUGGUCUCUUAAACCAACUAAUAGUAGUGUAACNCCUACUUCUAAUG